CAUCAUCAUUCAUUCAUUCAAUGUUUCAUAUUUUUUGACAGUUAUUUAUUUAUUAUUUCUAAAAAACUGCGCUAAUUACUAAUUAUAAAAGAAACAAAUACAAAGGUGUCAUUAACUUAGUUUAUAUAUUACCAAGACUCUUUGUUAAUGAAACUUAUACGCGCAUGACAAUCACAGAAAAAUUCAAUGCGCAUAGUCAAAACAUUGCGCAUUUCGUAGGCUAACCUCACCGAGUCGAUAUACCGAUUACCGAGGGUUUGUGGCUAGCAGAGAAAGCCUUUCACUGCACCUUAGUGCUAUAUUUUUGUGCUUAGUGUGAGUGCUAAGUGACUUCAAGAGGAUUUUCUCCCAGUAAACCGCCUACCAUAAAAUUACAAGAUGCCGUCAGCAGCGCCCCCUGCCGAGAAUGGCGCGCCGCGCAGCGAGCUCGAGCAACUCCAACUACGAGCCGGCCAGGUUACUGAUGAUUCCCUGGAAUCUACGCGGCGUAUGAUGCAACUAUGUGAGGAGAGCAAGGAGGCCGGCAUUCGUACUCUGGUCGCUCUAGACGACCAGGGAGAACAAUUGGACAGGAUCGAGGAGGGCAUGGACCAAAUUAACGCGGACAUGCGCGAGGCUGAGAAGAAUCUCUCCGGGAUGGAGAAAUGUUGCGGCAUCUGCGUACUGCCGUGCAACAAGGGGGCGUCGUUCAAGGAGGACGACGGCACAUGGAAGGGCAACGACGACGGCAAGGUGGUGAACAACCAGCCGCAGCGGGUCAUGGACGAGCGCAACGGUAUCGGCCCACAGGCGGGAUACAUUGGAAGGAUAACGAACGACGCUCGCGAGGACGAGAUGGAGGAGAACAUGGGGCAAGUGAACACCAUGAUCGGCAACCUGCGCAACAUGGCCAUCGACAUGGGCUCCGAGCUGGAGAACCAGAACCGGCAGAUCGACCGCAUCAACCGCAAGGGCGAAUCGAACGAAACGAGGAUAACGCUCGCCAACCAGCGCGCACACGAGCUCCUCAAGUAAACGCUGCCGGCGCACACAAACACACACACUGUCUCGUGGUUCGGCCGGUUGCGUAACUUAGACCGUAUGAUAGACAGACAUCUUAAUCAGUAUUCCAAAUAUAAACUAGCCUAUAUUUAUAAACAAUGAUUAGAAUUUAAGCAUCAAACUACCUUCAAAUAUAUACGAACAAUGCUCACUAUCUAGCCCCGAAAUAAGCAUAGAUUGUGUUAUGGGUGCUAAGACAGCGAUUUCAUCAUAUACAUUUGUACUACAAAGUAAAGUGGACCUUAACGCAACUGUUUAAAGUUCACUUUACUUUGAAGUUGGAUUGAUGUUUAAAUCUUAAUUCAUGUUUUAAUGGCCGAUAUUGUAGCUUGAUUUAUUUUCUAUGUUUGUGUUUGAUUCAAAAUGUGUUGCUAAUUUAAUUGUGCAUUAAUUUUCUUAUUGUAACAUGAACUUUGUGAGAAGAAUAACCAAUUAAAUAACUAAACCAGAAGGACCACUCUUUUUUGUGUGAGAUGUACCUAAUUCAGAUAUUCAUAAAUUUCUAACUGAACUAAAAGUGAUAGUAUAUCUUUUUCUACAUUAAAUUUUGUGAGAAGGGUAGCUAACUCGGUUUCUCAUUAUUUUCUAACUGAAAUAAAUUGUUAUUAUCCUUUUCUACAUUAAACUGUAUGAAAGGGAUAGCUAAUUAAGUGGUGCAUACAUUUUAACUGCACUAAACUAACCAGUCGAAUACUUUACAGUUAAUUAAUACAUAUGACUGUGUAAGUUUAUCCUUUUCUACAGUAAAGAGCACAGCAGUCUUGUUUUGUUUAUUGGCAUUGUUUUGUUUUGUGACAAAAGUAAUAAACAAUUAUAUUCAACUCUAAAGUAAGGGUAACAUAUUUCUUUUUUCACUAAAUAUUAGACAGCCAAUUACGUGAAGAGUUUAUCAGUGUGCUAAGUAUUAUUACACUAUAUAUGUGUUUGUUUAGGCCACGCCCCCGGGUACGCUGAUCAAUACAAAGAAUUGGCACUUUAUAAAUCUAGUUUAAAUAAAUAAUAAUACUUUAUUUAUCUAAACUACAUUAUCACAAUUAGUUUGAAGCCCUGCCUCCUGUACUAGUUAUGUGUCACAAGAAGCAGUGUCUUCCCAUUUUCAAUGCUAGCUUUAAAAAAAAAACAAAAAGAAAUUACCUCUUGUGUCUGUGGUAAAGACUGUGAGAAGGAUAGAAUUUUAAUAUAUCGGUCUCAUUUAGUUUAGAUGUUUAUGGUAUAUCUGAAUAGGCACUAAUACCUACGUGUUUUAUAAAGCUUUCUUUUAUUUAUAUUUAAAACAUAAUUCGUAAAGUAGAUGAUAGAUAGACAAUGUGUUACUAUAUUGUUUUGCAAUUUUUUUUUUAUGUAUUUAAUCUGAUUAAUGUGUCGUGUUGUAUAACCUACUUAGUGUCAAACUUACUAAUUUAAUAAACUCAGCAACCGGUCAAGUUAUUACAUAGCGUCUACUAUAUUCCGAUAAAUUUUAAAUUAAUUAAAAAUAUUUGAGAACAUCUUAUAUUUAAAAAAAAAAACUAUUUACUAUUGUAAUGAAUAUAUUACUUUGCUUUCAUGUAAUCCAAACGCUCAACAUAUAAAACAUACGUUUGGUGCUCCAUUUUUGUAGACCAAAUUAAAAAAAAAAACUACAUACAUUAACCAUUCUAAUAUUUUAUCCGGUAGUUGUAUAGCGAGUUGAUAUAUUGAAAUUUAUUAUUUUGUGAAAGUGAAUUUACCCUGUUGACAUUACUAUGUUAAAAGUUAUAUUACAAUGUCGCUUUUUGCAUGCGGUAACUGGAACUCGAUAACCAAUGUUAUUUGACUUGAAAAUAUACAUCCUAUUCGUGUUACCCUAAUGUGUAACUAGUGAUGUGCCGUUAAGUUAAAAUGUAUAUCCUCUGAUACAUAUAUUUUGUCGUCAAGAUCCUUAAGUGCAGAUACAUAUCUUAAUGGAUUUGGAUUUGAUGAAACAGUUGCAAUGUCCACAUUAGUGGCAUUUAUUAAAUAAUAAUUACUUUUAGAAUAGUUUAAUUCAAGUUUGAUUGACAGUUGCAUAAUAAAGAUGAAGGCAGUACCUACACAAUAAAAUGCUCGUUUUCAACUAAAACACACAUUUCAAAAAUAUUAAGAACUGUGAAUUCUAAUUUUAUAUUUGUUAAUAUUGAUUUAUUAUGAAAUAAAGUGUUUUUCGUCAUUACUUUUUUCUUGUGAAGUGCUGGACCCAAAAUAAUCGCUUUCCAUUUUUACUCCAAUCGCGAGACUUCGAAAUAAUAUCACACCAACGCCCGCGUCGCGGCAACAGGCACGACAUGUUUGACUUGCAUUGCGAGGUUCUUUCUUUUUAUAAUGUUGGUUAAAAAUGUCUACUUAGAAAUAGAUAUGCUAAAAGACUCGUUAACGUUCCCCCAAAAAAGUAACGGAUAGGGAUAUUUUGUUCUUCCUCGGAUAUCCGCGGAUAGGAUAUGGAUACACGGCACAUCACUAGUUACUGCAUAUUUUCAAUUAUCAAUAAACAUAAUUAAAAAAUCAAUUGAUUUAGUAUAGAGUUAAUGUUAUUAUUAAUAUAUAAAGAAAAUAUUACUAGAACGAUGCUAACGGAUGAGAUGACAUGUGAUAAUAGUUCGAAAUUAAGUAAUUAGUGUUAGUUUUAAAGUCUCUUUGAAAUUUCAUGAAUCUGCACAUCAGAUGUCAUAUAACACUUCAUAGGAGCAUUUAUGAUUUCAAUAUCAAUGGAGAAUUGAUGCAUAUACGAGGUAUACGUUCACAGAAUGUAUUUGAAUGUAUUAGAAUGCCCAAUGAGCAUAAAGAAAUAUUAUAUCACGUCAUUUUCCAGUUAUCUUAUUGGUUGAUUUGUGGUUCGGUCUAUUGCAAUUAUUUCUGAACGAUACUUUUUUGUUUAAAAUAAAUAGGGAUAGACAUAUACGUUUAUGUCCGCAAUAACUAUCAGCUGAUAAGGUGAGGUCAUUGUGAAAAAGUAUGAUUAAUGUUUACUGUGUAUACAUUUUUUUUAUUUAUUAUAAUAUUAUGUGUAAUGGCUACACCUUUAAUAUUAGGGUUCGUUUUAUCAGCAAUGGGGUUAGCACGCAAUAUUCCAAAGGGUAUGUCACCCUUAUUUAUUAAAAGAUGUAAAACUGAGACCAUAUUGUCGAGAAUCGUAAAUUGCGUCUUCUCUCCAAAAAUUACUUGUUUUCCUAAGUUUUACUUUUUUAAUGAAAAAGUUCUGUAUUAAACUAUUUUUUGAAUUGCUCCAAAAUCAUAAAACGGUUAUUAAAACCACAUCUAACUAACAUUACCUCAUCUUAAUAACAUGGUACGUAUUCCUUAUAUGAAAUUAAAUCUAGUCGCUAAAUUAUCAUAAAAAAUCACAAAUUACGUGCACAAAUGUGUAAAAAGAAAUCCUAUUAAAUGUACUUACCGUAAUUUGGUUUCUAUUAUUUUUAUUUCCAUCAUGAGAUUUCUGCAUAUCCCAAAAACAUAUCUGCUUCUAUGAAUUGGUAAAAGCACUCAAUAUUUGUAUCUAGCUUUUAAAAAGUGUUUAUAGAUAAAUUUUAUAUUAAUUUAAAUACUUGAACUUUUCUUAUGUUACGACUUUAAUUUUUUUUUGUACUUUAUUUUUUUUAUUUUUUUUCAUUUUGUAUUUCUAUAUAACUCGGCGUGGAAAUGCGAACGUGAAACCGAACGUCAUACUUUAAGUAAUAAAAUUAUAUUUAGCAACUACAAUCUACUUUUUUUGACAAGUUAUCCCUAAAAAUAGUUAAGGUACCCGCAAACUUAACAUACUGCUUAUUGACAGCAAUUACUAAUAAAAAAAAUAUUAUACUUUUUACAUCUCGUACUGUAUAGUGGUAAUUUAAAUGUAGAUUUGUAAUUUAAAUAGUAGUACGUAAAAAUAAAAUAAUCUACUUCCUAUAAAGAUGGAUAUGUGUGCAAUGUAUUGGUACAUGUAGACUUACUCAACAUUGCAUGUAGGCUAAUUAACAUCUUCAAAAACAUGUUAAGUCUUGAUACUGUGAAUAAAAAUUCCUAUUCUCGUCAUGAGCUUGAAAUGAGAAAAAUAUCCAACAAUUACAACCCUGCACAUGAACAAUGAGCAAAUAUAUAGUUAUAUACAUUUUAGGAAUAACUCAAUACCUAUUGAUGUUAUAAAAAAUAAAUAAAAUACGAAUAAAAGUGUGGACUCUCUACUGUUAAUACAUUUUAUGUAAUGUUGAAUAGUAUUCCGCCCGAUAGCCACGGUCGCCAUUAGAAAACGGACGAUAUUCGUUAGAUUAUUAAACUAUAAUAAAAUCUGUAUAAUCUUGACAUUUUGCUAGAUGUCAAGACUAGUCAAACGUACUCGUAACGAAUCACACGUAUUUUAUUGGCAGUAUAAACAAUUAACACGAUUUUGAAGAUGUUAAAUAGCCUAAUUUAGGUAUAGCUCUCGCCAUGCAAAUAGUCGUUAAAAUUAUCGUCAAACUGCGCAUUUAUAGCAGGUAUAAAUAAAACCCCUUCUGUAGUUCUAACAUGCGACCGAGUGAAGAGAAAUUGACAAAAUCGUCCAAUGGCGGUGGAGCUUCCCGUGCCCCAUCUCUUUUGUCCUAACGCAAUGAAAAAGAUAGUCGUAUUUCCGGAUGCACCGCCAUUGGUUGAAAUUUGAAUAUUAUCUCGUUGUUUGCAUGUUAGCGCAACUGAGAUAUGUCUUGUACACUGCCUCGUGUUAAGAGACGUUUAUUUGUUUGGCAAGAACUAUGUAUACGUAUUCUUAUAUACUUGUGUAUGUAUCAACUACGCCUCAACCACGAGACACACAUAGACACAUUAACACAGACAGGUCUGCGACGACGUCCGGAGAGAGCAACGAGACACGCAUAGCGGUUGCGAACCAGCGGGCGAACAAGCUGCUCAAAUCUUAAAACCUUUUACUCCUCGUCAAUGCAAAGGGAUGUCGUAUACAAGAUCAGUGUUGCCUGACUUUAAAAUUCAUUCGCUUUUUAAGUUUAUCGCAAAUUGCCAUAAAGCCAGAUGUAACGAUUUUUUUAUUAAUUUCAUUGAAAAGUCGCUAAAAUCAAAUCAAAUUAUUAGGUGCAUAUUUGGAUCCUAAAUUGAUUGUAAUACCUAAACUUUGAACUAAUGUAACAAUUAAAUGUAAUAACAAAAGUAUCUCAUGUAUUUUAAAAAAAAAUCGUUGUUUUUGGCUUUUUGGCACUAUGUUUAUUCGAUCGAGUUAUAAUUAUAACGAGAUUGACAAAAUAGUGUUGCCUGAUGUAAAUUUGUUCAAAGUUUGUAUUGCAUUUAAAUAUUUUUGUUAUCUAUUGUAAAUAAUCAACGAUUUUUUAAUUUAUAUUGUAUCUUAUUGAUUGUUAAUUAAUAUGUGUAAUAAUGCAUUUCUUCCAUAGUUAAUUCAAUUCUUAUAAUUGUUGAUUAUAAAAAUCCAUGAUAUUUUUUAUAAGUUCAUAAGGUAACGCCAUUUUGUGCAAUACUGGCAUGUGUAUUCAAAAUAAUUAUUUACUAUGAAAUAAAUAAUAAACUUUGAGAAAUUAUGCUUUAAUUUAUAGUAAGAUUUAUAACGAUAUACACGUGUCACUCUCGAGGCUAGAUUAUUUUAGUACGAGAUCUGGCAUAAGGAAUAUAUACCCUCAUCUGUUAUUUCAUUGGGUAAGAAAUAAAUGAUAAAAAUAUUCACAUUGACACAUUGCACAUAGGUUGUUAAAUUGCGGUCGAACAGUAUUAAAUGUUUUUUUUUUUUUUUAAUCUCAUCACCUCAUUGGUUAAUUAUAAAAAACGUACACUAGUUAAUAGAAUCUAUCCCAAAAGAAUUGAAAAAGUAACGGUUGCUUUCACUCUGCAACUGUGGGGUUGCCAGAUAUAAACAGUUAAUUAAAAUGUUAUUUAAAUACCCUCAUCAGUUAUUUAGUCGUCUAAUAUGUCAAAUGAAAUUUAUUAAUAUAUCCUUAAUAUCCUUAAUUUAACUGAAUUAAGUUGUUUUUGAUAGUUCAUGGUUCCAUAGAUUUUGUAUGAAAAAUGUGUGUGUUCGCAAUUUAACAAGGCAACCUAUUUGCAAUGUGUCACUGUAAACAUUAUCUAUCAUUUAUUUCAUAGCACUAAUGAAUAACAGAUGAGGGUAUAUAUUUCUAAUGCCGGCUCUUAGACCAUUUAUAGAGGAAGAUUAGUCAGGCAAAAACUACGCUACCAUACUAAUAACUAUGUUUGUGGUAAUAUUAUCAGAGAUUAUUUUUUUAUGUGUUUAAGUUAAAGUAUUACCUACAUAACCUCUUCUUUCUGAACACGCUUUAUUGGGCAUUAUUAUAAAGUUAAUUAUUUUUUCAAACGUAUUUGUACUAUAAAAUACCUAUUUGUAUUAUGUAUUAACUUUAUGUUGAGAUUUUUGUAAUAGGUACAGUUCAAUCCCCUUUUUAAAUAGCUUUAAAAUAUUUCAUGACUUAUUUUGUUUGUUUUUUUAUUUAGGUAAUGUGCCAAAGUUCCUUUUACAUCAACAAAAUUAUUAACUUUUUUUUUAUUAUUAUGGAAACUUCAAAUUUCAUAGUGAACGUAAGAGAUUUAAUAAGCUUUUAAAAUAGUUUGCUCGGAACAAUAAUAAAGUAUGUACCAAUAUAGCUCAAAUAUAGUAGAGAACACAGAUAUUUUCGAUAGACCCUAAAAUAUGAUAGAAUACCGUAAUCCGCUGAUAUUUCUCGAACCGCAUUUAAAAAAGUAUCCUAUAAUUAUUAUAGAAAAAUUUAAUAUCUAAAAAAUAGUGAGAUCGACAAUGUUAAUAUAUUGCUGUUUAAAUAUUGCAUAUUUGUAAUUAUUAAAUUUAAAAAAAAAAAAACAAUUUACUUUUUACCUUCUAAAUAAAGUGAAAAAUUUCGUUGUAAUAAUUAGCUCUUAAUAAUUACUAUAUCAAUUACAGUUAUUAUUACAAACGUUGUAAUAUGAUUACGGUAAUAUGCAAUAGUAAUAUAUUUUAAUAGUUGAGCAGUUAAAUAUUUAUUACUUAAAGUACAUAUAUUGUUGUAAGUGUAUUUGAGGGCAGUUCACACGAAUCUUCUCAGCCGCUGCGUUUUAGAAUGACAAAGAGGAAGCCGCUGUUUUGACUGAAAUAUUUAGAACCUAGGUAACUGUGAUAAAUAUAACCUCAAAUGGUUCGUCUAAAGAUACCUUUUCGCUUUAUUGUCAAUCGUACUCUUGAAUUUGCCUAGACGCUCUCCGCGCAUCUCGAUUAUAUCUCCCAAAUAAAAAGGAGAAUUUAAAUUUAGUUGGACAUGUUUUAUUAGAUAUUUUGUUAUAUUAUACUAUCAUCCGUAAGUUUUAAAAUUUUGUCUUCGUUCAUACAGUUUAGUUCUAAGAGUCAAUAAAACGGAUGCGAGUUUCUAUCCAUUUUCAUCUUCAUCUCGUUUUGACUUGCAGUAACUGUCAAAACUGGCUAUCAUCAAGUCAUUUGUGUCAUGAUCAUGUUAACUAUUUGUUCUAGUCUUUCUAGUCCAACUUUGUAACUUAAUAUCACUUGAAUUAACCGUAAUAAGCAGAUUAAUUAUUCUCGAUAGCAUUUGUUGGGUGUUUCUAAACGCACGGUUGAGUGAAUCCGUGUGAACACGGCCUCGUAUCGUUGUACCGGCCUUAGAAGUAAUGAAUAUAGGAAUGUUAAAGAUGAUGGCUUGACUAUACUCGUGUACAGGGCGCCACGGAAAAUAGCUUCAAUGUUCUCAAAUAAAUCGAAAUUGUAUUCACAAAUUUUACAUUGUAGAAUAUCGAAAAACAUGUGGCUCCCUGUACAAGCGUUAGAUUUAAGAAUUUUCGAAAUUUCUCUACGUCUUUCUCGAUCGUCUUAGUUUAAGUGUAAAGCGGGUCAUUUGACCCGUGCGUUUUUGAUCUAAGUACAUAUUCCAGUAAUGAAUAAACUUAUAUUUUAACCGUAUUUAUAACAUAUAGACCAGUGUUGUUAAGAUCAAUUUAAUCAAUAGAUGUGUAUACCGCCUGCGCAAAAAUAUAUUCGUUUAUAUUCAGCCUAAUAUUUGUCUACUUACAGUAAAAUUACAUAGAAAAACGUCUAUUUUUCUUUAUGAAUAGAAUAGUUAGUAUAAAAGUGUUAAUUUUUAAUUAAAUUAUUUAUUUGUUAAUAUUACCUAUAA